GAUUCUGGCUCAGGAUGAACGCUGGCGGCGUGCCUAAUACAUGCAAGUGAAACGGGUAUCUUCGGAUACCAGUCGCGGACGGGUGAGUAAUACAUAGGCAACCUGCCUUUAUGAGGGGGAUAACCGAGGGAAACUUUGGCUAAUACCGCAUGAAGACUCUAAGGCAUCUUAGAGGGAUAAAAGUUGGGAAACAACGCAUGAAGAUGGGCUUAUGGCGCAUUAGCUAGUUGGUGAGAUAGAAGCCCACCAAGGUAAUGAUGCGUAGCCGACCUGAGAGGGUGAACGGCCACAUUGGGACUGAGACACGGCCCAAACUCCUACGGGAGGCAGCAGUAGGGAAUUUUCGGCAAUGGGGGGAACCCUGACCGAGCAACGCCGCCGUGAAGGAAGAAGGUUUUCGGAUUGUAAACUUCUGUUAUAAGGGAAGAACGGAUUGGAUAGGGAAUGAUCUGAUAGUGACGGUACCUUAUUAGAAAGCCACGGCUAACUACGUGCCAGCCGCUGC
rnacentral:rRNA from 1 species